CCCUUAGAUGUUCUGGGCCGCACGCGUGCUACACUGAGUGGAUCAGCGGGUCAGGUUGCGCGAAAGCGUUUCCUAAUCUUUGAAUCUGCAUCGUGACGGGGAUAGAUUAUUGCAAUUAUUAAUCUUCAACGAGGAAUGCCUAGUAGGCGCAAGUCAUCAGCUUGCGUCGAUUACGUCCCUGCCCUUUGUACACACCGCCCGUCGCUCCUACCGAUUGGGUGUGCUGGUGAAAUGUUCGGAUCGGCCGUUUGUCGCGGUUUCCGCGUCAUGUGGCUGAGAAGUUCAUUAAACCCUCCCACCUAGAGGAAGGAGAAGUCGUAACA
rnacentral:rRNA from 1 species